rnacentral:rRNA from 1 species
GAUGAACGCUGGCGGCGUGCUUAACACAUGCAAGUCGAACGAAGCAUUUAGAACAGAUUAUUUCGGUAUGAAGUUCUUUAUGACUGAGUGGCGGACGGGGAAGUAACGCGUGGGUAACCUGCCUUGUACUGGGGGAUAGCAGCUGGAAACGGCUGGUAAUACCGCAUAAGCGCAAGGUGCUGCCUGGCACCGUGUGAAAAACUCCGGUGGUAAAAGAUGGACCCGCGUCUGAUUAGCUAGUUGGUGAGAUAACAGCCCACCAAGGCGACGAUCAGUAGCCGACCUGAGAGGGUGACCGGCCACAUUGGGACUGAGACACGGCCCAGACUCCUACGGGAGGCAGCAGUGGGGAAUAUUGCACAAUGGAGGAAGCUCUGAUGCAGCGACGCCGCGUGAGUGAAGAAGUAAUUCGUUAUGUAAAGCUCUAUCAGCAGGGAAGAUAGUGACGGUACCUGACUAAGAAGCUCCGGCUAAAUACGUGCCAGCAGCCGCCGUAA